rnacentral:tRNA from 3 species
CGGGGUGUAGCGCAGGUGGCUAGCGCGCAGCGUUCGGGACGCUGAGGUCGGAGGUUCAAGUCCUCUCACCCCGACCA